rnacentral:tRNA from 1 species
GCCCUGGUAGUGUAGUGGCCUAGCAUAAAGCCCUGUCGAGGCUUUGACCCGGGUUCAAAAACAGCUUCAAAAUGCUUUAUUUCGCUAAAAAAACCCAAAACAGACGUUUUGGGCUAUUUUGGGACUGUGGAAUUUCCCGGCCAGGGCG